rnacentral:rRNA from 1 species
UAGCUUGCUACUGGAUUCAGCGGCGGACGGGUGAGUAAUGCUUAGGAAUCUGCCUAUUAGUGGGGGACAACGUUCCGAAAGGAGCGCUAAUACCGCAUACGUCCUACGGGAGAAAGCAGGGGACCUUUGGGCCUUGCGCUAAUAGAUGAGCCUAAGUCGGAUUAGCUAGUUGGUAGGGUAAAGGCCUACCAAGGCGACGAUCUGUAGCGG